rnacentral:lncRNA from 1 species
GUCAAUGUACAUGGCUCUGGAGUCGGAGUAUUGUCUACUUUUGAGUACUUAUAUCCAAAAGGAAGAUGCUCACAGUCAUAAAGUGGUCCAUAGCCUCUAACAACACAGUGGUGAGGCAUGCAUUGCUCCCUGGAAAUCAAGUGCACUGCACUAUAUAUUGACUUCCGACAAUGAAAGUAUUUGGAGAAGGGCUCAGACAGUGUCACAAGCCUCAAGCAGUGCAGGCUAGAACUCACAGGCAAAAGAACGGGCAGAAUACAUGGAGACCCCAGCCUGCAGACCCUCGGCAUCACAUAGAGAGGUGUACUUGGGCCAGAUCCUUUACCUGGGCUCCAGACUUCGACUACACAAAGGCAGAGCAGGGAUAUAUGGAGAUUAUAAAUGCUCGCUGCAGGAUGAUACCAGGAGACUGUGAAGUGGUGAGAUGGUGAAGCCACAAGUUUAAAGCAGUGUGAUUCCUCAGUCACCUCUUUGAAGUGAACAACUUAAAUCUCAUCAGACUGGGAUGUGAGCAAGAAUAAGUCUUGAUUCUAUCAAGCCAUUAAGAUCUUGAAGUUGUUUGUUUACUUCUGAAAUAUGUUUAAGGAUUUUAGUUGGCAGUAAAUUUACAUGGAUCAACUAGAAAGAUGCUUUCUAUCCUUGACUUCUCAGCAAUAUUUAACUACAAGCCCCCUUUCCUAAUAGAAACAUUCAAUUCCUUUUGCUUCUGUGGCCCAGCAUCCUCCAGGUUUUCCUCCUGUCCUGCUAGCUGCUCCUUUCUCUGCCUUUCUUUGUGUCCUCUUCCAAAGGACUAUUAAUUGUUGAGUUUCUUUUGGUUCAGUCUUCUGGCCUUUCCUCUUUUCAUUUUUUUUUUCAUGUGAUUUGGAUUACCAUCUAUAUGCGAGAAGACUCGGAAAUUUAUAUCACUACCUUAAAUGUUCUUCUGCACUCCACACACAUAAUCCAACUUCCUAAUUGAUAUUUUCUCAUGGACUUUUCAAUGACUCUUCAUACAAACCUGCACUCAGAAUUUUUCUUUCCAAAUCUGGCCCUCUUCAAUGUUUCCCACCUCAGGGAAUGGCACACCACCUAUCCAGUCACAUGAGACAGAAACCAAAAGUCCAGCAAUCCUUCCUCACCCCUGUCCACUCUUCUCCCACCUUAGCUGAUCCAUUACCAAGUCUUAUCAAUUUCCCUCCUAAAUAUUUAUCAAAUGCAUUCUCUCCCUGCUGGCUCCACCAACGAUCCUGCCAUUAUCUCUUACCCAAGCUCCUGCAAUAGCCUUUUUACUAAUCUGUGUGCAUAUGCUCUGGUGUCUCUUCAAUCCUGAUCCACUCUUCAUAGUAAUAUUUAAAAAUUAAAAACUUGUCUCUUUCCUAUUUAAAGUUCCUCAAUAGUUUUUCCAUUUGUUGUGUUAGGCUAAUGAUAAAACAUGAUUUUGACGAUCCUGCACAUUCUGGCGCCUUCUACCUCUCUGGCUCACCUCACCUCCUGCAGACUCCAUGGUUCUUUGCUCCAUUCAUACUGGACUUCCUUCCAUCCCUCAAACUUUCAUCAGGUUUUCUCCUGUGACUCCCACUGCACAUGUCCUGACACACUUCUUUCUCUUCUUAACCUAUCAAGUCUACCUUUCCUUCAGCUUCUGCUCAAGAAAGAAGCCAUUUUGAUCUCCUGAUUAGUUCAAAUCUUCCUAUAACAGGUUUUCAUAAGACUGUAUACUUUUUAUUAGGACUUGUCAUGGGUGCAAUUUUACAUCUAUUUGUGUGAUUACUUGAUACCUCUCAGUAUCCUCCACUAAACAAUAAGCUCUAAGGAAGUAGGGACAUGUUGUCUUUUGUUCGUUUUUAUCUCCAGCCUCUAAUACAGUGCCGGACAUAGAUGAGGCUCUUUCAGUGAGUAUUUGCCAAAGGAAGAAUGGUAGGAAGAUGGGAAAGAAGGGAGGAAAUAAAAUAGAAGAAGAUGAGUCCAUAUCUUCUCUAUAUUUGCCAAUUUGCACCUGGAGCAUUGGAUUAAGUUCUGGGUGCCAUAUUUUGAGAUAAAAACAAGCUGGAAUAUAUUCAGAAGAAAGGAAUCAGAAAGAUCAGGAGAGGCAAAGUUGGGAUUGAUGCAUCAAAUAGGUAAUUGGAUGCUUUUUUCAAUUUCUUCCAACCAAAAGUUUCUAAUUCAAAGAAACUACUUCAUGUUGUAAAAUAAUUUACAUAAUUCCUCUUUCACAAAUUAAGGCAUUUAAAAGGAAAACACUUUCAUGUUUGUAAAUAAUCUUUAAAAUAGUUUACUGAGAAAAAAUGCAUGAAAAAAUUCUGCAGUGUCUCUGGGCACUUAUUUUGAUUGACUGGUGCAGGCACUUUUAGCCCCCUUUCUCCUGCUUUCUAUUUCUAUUCUAAUACAACGGAAUUAUCUUUUUGCAAUAAAUUUCAUGAGUAGUCUACUGUGAACAUAUAUGUUCUAAUCAAAGAAGAUAUAGCUUAUAAUGAUUGUCAAAAUCAUUCUUUUUUAUUAUGUAGAUUUACUGCCUGAUUACUUCUAAGUGUGAUUUUUUGCCUUUUGAUACUAUUGCUUAUGUACAUGAAAUUUAGAGUUAUGGAUUAAAGAAUAUAUAACCAGAUUAGCUGCAAACUAUGAACAUUAAUAAAAGAGACUAAUAAAAUUAUAAAACUAUCUACUAUGGCUAUUUAUUGAAAAUUACAAAUUUCCUAAAAGUUGCUGAU